rnacentral:rRNA from 1 species
GUGUCAGCAGCCGCGGUAAUACGGAGGGUGCAAGCGUUAUCCGGAUUCACUGGGUUUAAAGGGUGUGUAGGCGGAUAUUUAAGUCAGAGGUGAAAUCUCCAGGCUCAACCUGGAAACUGCCUUUGAUACUAUUUAUCUUGAAUUUUGUUGAGGUAGGCGGAAUAUAUCAUGUAGCGGUGAAAUGCAUAGAUAUGAUAUAGAACACCGAUUGCGAAGGCAGCUUACUAAGCAAACAUUGACGCUGAGGCACGAAAGCGUGGGGAGCAAACGGGAUUAGAUACCCGGGUAGUCC